GAGAAAAUAAAAAAAAUCGUUUUAUCAGGGGCACUAUGGUAUUUCAUGCAUUAAGUAAGUGGUGAAAAAAACAAAAAUUACAUACUUUUUUCACUUAUCUUCUGCGAUUUGCUUAACUUUUUAUAUUUCUUACUUUAAAAUUGAAGGCCGCACGCAAUAUAGCGGAACGGCAACGGAAACGGCAGAUUUGAAAGUUAGCCCAUAUAUUUUCUAUCAAAUGUUUCGUGUCCGUCACCGUUCCGCCAAAUCGCGUUUAGGGCUUAACACAUAUAGAAUACUGUAAAUAAGCAACACACAUUUUAUUUCACAUGCACUUAUGGAUGUUUUCCAUGUUAAUAAUAUAAAUUUUUGACCAUUAUUUUAUUAAGUCUAACUCAAAGUGCCUCCACGAAAACUUUUGCUCUCACCCCUCUCUCUUCCUGCUAGUGUCACAAUAAUAACAAAGCAGUUUGUUUUUUGAUCUGGUGGUGCAUCAUAAAUUAAGUGCGCUUAAAUUACAGAAUCAGUGCUGGAAUUUAAUAUUAAUUGAAGUUAAUUCAGUUUCCGGAUAAUCGCAUCAUGAUGCCUCGUAUGCGACAACAGGAGAAAAUUCAUUCAGUUGCAGAAAUCCCAAGCAACGCUCAUAUUUUUCUCCAAGUCCUAUUGUUGCGGUCUUGUUUUCAGAGCAGUUCGGUGUCGGAAGUCGGAGAAAAUUACCGAGAAACCGGGAGAUAAAUAGCCCACAUAUUUCAACAUUAGUAACCGGAGGAAACGGCCAUAUCAGCAUGCUAAGAUACGCGGUCCGACAAGUGGCCCGGAAGAGGCCACCUUUACAAUAUUAUUUCGAGAGUUACCUUAAGCUUCAAACAAUGAAAUAAAACUAAAAAAAUAA